rnacentral:lncRNA from 1 species
AAUUGGUAGAUUUGCAUUUUACAAAGUGGCUAAAACAGCCUAGCCUUUCAAUUUAACAAUAUUUGAAGUUUGUUUUUCUUUAAAAAAAAAAAAAAAAAAAAAGAGUAAUAUUGUUUUCUCUCAUUUUGUAGCUGUCGGUCUUGUGGAACUAGAAAAUCUUUUUGCAAAAUAACUGUGAACAAGUCAUGAACUGCUGAUAGAAUGGGAAAUGACAAUCAUUAGAUAAAUUAGUCCUGUAAUGGAUGGAUCUUCAUGCACAUGAAAGUUCAUAUUGCAGCGGAAGUACUGCAAGUGCUCCUCUGACUCAUUGAUGCAAGGUUUGCAAAUAACGUAAGCACAAGAGACAUGGUUUUGUAGCAACUGCUUGCCACCAUGACUGAGAAUGUGGACAUGUCAUCGAUACAUCAGUGAGGAGUGUCUUUCAGGUAAUCUUUUAUAGUGCUGCCAAGUAACUCUGCUCAUUAUG